rnacentral:misc_RNA from 1 species
CGACGUCAGCAGGCGAUGGAACUCGACCACCUCAAGGACGAUGUCCUCAUGGGUGACACGAACGAGGUCACGGUACCGGCGGCGAUCGUAGCCUCGGCCCCGGUGCUUGAUAUGGGCUUCCAUCCAAGGCUCCCGAUCAUGGCGGCUGGCCUCGUCACCGGCGAAGUUGAAAUCUACAAGCGCAAGAGCGUCGAUGAGAUGGUGAAGAUACCCUUACAAAACGAUUUCUCAUCAUGGAUCUUCUCCGGGCAGUACCGCGAGGACGAAGUGGUGAUGAAUUACCAUCAUCAAAAUAUGUUGAUGCACCCCUCUGGCAGCGUCUCGUCGAUGGAGUUCACCGACGAUGGCAACUACCUCGUUAGCGCCAGCGGUGAUCGCACGAUAUCAGUGAUGGACUGUGUCUCACUCCGCCUUGUCAUCCACAUUCCGGAUGAGGAGGUGCGUGCCCGCACGGCGGGCAAGAAGAAGCUGAACUCCAUGAACAAAAAGAACGAUCCGACUGCGAAAAGCGGAAAGACGACACGGAAGAAGACAGCGGCCGCGGGGCGCAGCAGCCGCAGUGGCCCUACUGUGCCGGUGAACCCGCACAAAUACGGCAUCUCCUCUCUCAACGUCUGCGAUGAGAAUCUCAUAGCAACAGGAGACGACGACGGGCUUAUCGCGGUAUGGGACAUGCGCGAGCGGAGGCCUGUGUAUGUGUACCACGAGCACGGCGACUACGUGUCGCAGCUGUGCUACUUCACAGACGCCCAAGAACUCGUUUCCAGCAGCGGCGACACGUGUCUCGGCGCCUACGACAUGCGCGCCGGCAAAGUUCGUGACUUCAGUGUACGCCGAAAGGACGAGCUAAACUGCUUUGCCUUCAUCAAUAGUAGUGGCGUCAGCAACGCGACUUUCAUCCCGAGUAUUGUGUGCGGUACACCUCACGGCGGACUGCCGCUAUGGAAGUACGGCUCGUGGGCUCGUCCGUACGACGUGAUGGACCGCCACCCCGCAGAGUGCGAGGCCAUCAUAUCUUUUCACGGCGAGAGCACCUCCUUCAACCACAACCUCAUCCUGACCGGCGCGUGUGAUGGACUAGUGCGGGUGCUGCAGAUGUAUCCGGUGCGGCGCAAUCUCUGCCAGCUGAGCGCACGCGACUACACCUACUCUCACUCGAGCGUUCUCGGGAACCAGAGCAGUAGCGGUAGGCACCAGCAACAAGGCAACUACGUGGUGCGUCGCGCACGGGGGCAGGAGACGAUCAGCCGCAUGCGCGUGUCACACGACGCGAACCUGCUUGCCGUCAGCGGCUCGGACAACAUUAUUGACUUCGUCGACAUCGCUUUCAUGAACGACGAGGCGGAGCUGGAUCAGCUCCGCGGUCGCGCGGAGCAGCACCAUCUGCGCACCCUGCGCGAACUCGACCGCGAGUUGGAAGAAGAAGAGAAGCGCGAAGGUCGUCUUCUGGAAGGCCGUGGAGCCGACGGUGAAGGCGGCGAAAACGACGUCGACGAAGCGAGCAGCGUCCCGUCCAGCAGCAACGCUUCGUCUCAGCCAAGCGAGGACAGCGACACCGAUGUCAAGACGGAGGCCGACGUGCAGACGAGGCUGGCCUGGCGCGAGGUGCUGCGACAGAGGUUUGCGAAGAUUGGCGUUGCGCGAAAGAAGCGCGCCCAUUUCGACGGCAGCAGCGACAAUGAUGACGAUGAUGGAACUCCAGCUGCGAAGAAGAAAGCGUCAGAGAAGGCCCCGCAGAGAUCUGACGUGAGAGGGCAGAAAACAGCCAAGUCCAGGGAAAGUGUCGCCGCAUCAAUACGGCCGCCCUCUUCAGACACCGGUGCAUCUCUGCCCUCAAAGGUCUCCAGACGUGUAGACAGUGUUAUGUCAGGCACCCGCAGGUCAUGCAAUCAAGAGGCGCUCAAGAAGAAGAGGCAGGCCCCCGUCGAGGCCUCCGCGUUGUCGGCCACUAUGGUAGCUACGGACGCCGCCAACACGAACCCUCCCUCCGCGGCAGCUUCUUGUGUUGCAGCGGUGGAGUCGAUGGACUCGAUGGAGGUGUACCGGACGGAGCGGCAAAAGAAGCGUGAGCGUGCCGCAGCGGCCCGCUGGCUAAAGGAGGAGCGCCGGAAGAAGAUCAACUUUACCUAUGAGAAGCGCCGCAGACGCGUGGGUGGCUUUUUCGGUGACAUGGUGAACCUAGACGACCAUGGCGGGUAAGAAAACGUCGCUGUCGCAUAAAGAGUAAGAGAGGCAGGGGGUGGGGGGCCCCGCUCUUCUUUUUUUUUUCUUUUGUGCACCGCUCGGUCUGAGCUGGUGGUAGUCCGUGUCCUUUGGUACUAAUCUGAUAUGCGCGUAAGUCGUGGCCGAGGUGGGCUGCACCCCAGAAUUUUCUUUUGCUCUUGUGCAAUAUGCCGUAGGACCACAAAAAGGAGCUAGGCAGGGAGCAUGCGAAUGACACACCUGAUGCCCUUGUAUUUGGACGGCAACUGCACCCUGGCCUUCAAGGACGAAAAACGGUACGCGGCACCAACAUGAAACCGAAAACGUCAUGCGUGCCGAGUAUCGGCACAACACAUCGUACUAGCGCACAACGAAGGAGCUAGACACCACUGUGAUGCCACUGAGGGACCAUGCGUAGCUGCACCGUCUCACUACAGUCCAUGUCUGUGCUGUUCCCAUUUUCGCCAAACGCGAGCAUCAGCGACG